UAAUACGUAGGGGGCAAGCGUUGUCCGGAAUUAUUGGGCGUAAAGCGCGCGCAGGCGGCUCUUUAAGUCUGGUGUUUAAGUGCGGGGCUCAACCCCGUGACGCACUGGAAACUGGGGAGCUUGAGUGCAGAAGAGGAGAGCGGAAUUCCACGUGUAGCGGUGAAAUGCGUAGAGAUGUGGAGGAACACCAGUGGCGAAGGCGGCUCUCUGGACUGUAACUGACGCUGAGGCGCGAAAGCGUGGGGAGCAAACAGGAUUAGAUACCCUGGUAGUCCACGCCGUAAACGAUGAGUGCUAGGUGUUGGGGGUAUCAUGCCCUCGGUGCCGAAGUUAACACAUUAAGCACUCCGCCUGGGGAGUACGGUCGCAAGACUGAAACUCAAAUGAAUUGACGG
rnacentral:rRNA from 1 species